GGGGCGGUAGCUCAGCUGGGAGAGCACCAGAUUUGCAUUCUGGGGGUCGAGGGUUCGAAUCCCUUCCGCUCCACCA
rnacentral:tRNA from 1 species